GGCUUGGUGGUGGAUGGUCCAUGUCUGCUGUCCUUAAAGGAGAAAAUUCUGUCUUUCAUGCAGAUGCAGAGGGAACCCGUUCGAUUCGGGUCCAAGCCA